GCCAGCAUGGCGUAGUGAUUUGCGUGUUGGACUAGGACUUUGGCGUCCAGGGUUUGAAUCCCAGUUUGGCC